rnacentral:sRNA from 1 species
AAUAAAGUGGUAUCCUAGCCUAUUCGAAUGGUUAACAAGCGCAAUCAAGCUAUCCCUAGACAACAGGUUCAACAACAGAUCAAUUCACUCCAGUGAUAGAAAUCCUCAAUCAAAGCUAGCCCAGACUAAUUCCCAUUAACGGAAUCUAACUAUGCAGGCAAUAAGAACAGACUGAUAAAGUCAAUAAACGCUCUAAACGGCCAAUCCCUUGGGAUAGAGACGAAUAUCUCAGGAACUAGUGGAUCAAACAUUCCAUCGAACAUCUUCUGGGUGCGGGAAUGCUUGGGAUCGAAUUCAAGUUGAUCAGAAAGAAAUAAGCAGUAAACACAACUAGUCCUGAAGGGAUUCAAUCAAUUCUAAAACUUAACCAUUCUACAGACUACGGAUUCCACAACUACUCUAUCCCAUCCCUAAGAAUUCUAAGUCACUACUCAGACAACAUGCUCAAAGACAUAAACGCAGAUAAAUGAUAAUAUUGCAUAAGUAAAGAGAUAAAGAGUAGAGAAACAAGAUGACAGAUGAAAUCAAAUGCAGAAUCUGAAUAACUUAGAAAAAUCUCGAAUUACAGGUUGCAGAAGCAAAAGCGGCGCAGCAGAGUAAAACAAAAAACAAAACUGAAGCAAAAACGCAAUGUCGACUAGAUGUCUCAGGACAGAACCCUAAGACAUCUAUUUAUACAAAACGAAAUAAAAUGAUAGUAAACG